AUGGUUACUUGCAUGAUGUUCUGAUUUUGCAUGCUGUGACAGUUUUUACAAGAAAGACCCAAAUACUGUUGACUGUGUUUUUGCAUGGAUUCAGAGCUUCAAACUGUGUGCUGCACAAUGUAACUUCAUAUUAACAAAUCUGUUUUAUUAUUUUUGUAUUUUUGUUGUAGUAAGAUGACAGCCAAAAUUGCACCUGGCACAUGGGUGCUACUGAAAAACAAGGUUGGUUAUAAAGAAGUCUGCUAAAGUUGGGAGUGCUGAAGUGUCAAACCCUUAAUAAACUCAUGCUUUUUUUUUUUUUUUUAGGAUAUCCCCCAACAGAUUGGUGGUGUAGACUGUGGAGUCUUCAUGUUGAUGUAUGCUCUACAUCUUGUCUUGGGAGCACCCUUUGAUUUUACAUCUUGCGACUUUCCAAACAUACGGAGAUGGUGGGCUCUUAUUCUUCUGGAGAACUUUGGGGUUUUCUCUGAAAGGUAGAUACUGGACAUUUACUCCAGCCCACCGUUACAUUUGCACCCUCUUCUGAUUAAUUUUAAAUUAACCAAGAUAUAUAUAUAUUCCAGUGCAGAAACCCUACAAGAGUCCCUUCCAUGUGAAGA